rnacentral:rRNA from 1 species
GAUCAGAUCAAGCGCGAAAAGGGCGUUUGGUGGAUGCCUUGGCAGUAAGAGGCGAUGAAGGACGUGAUACUCUGCGAUAAGCUAUGGUAAGCCGAGAAUAGGCUUUGACCCAUAGAUCUCCGAAUGGGGGAACCCACCUGAUACUCGAUUAUUGAUAGCAUUGUUAUGAAUAAUUGGGUAAAACAGGUACUUUUAACCUGAAUACAUAGGGUUUUAAGAGCAAACCCGGGGAACUGAAACAUCUAAGUACCCGGAGGAAAGGAAAUCAAUAGAUACUUCGUUAGUAGUGGCGAGCGAACGCGAACCAGCCGAGCCGAGAUUGUGACUAGAACAUCCUGGAAAGGAUGGCCAUAGUGGGUGACAGCCCCGUAUAGGAAGCAUGAUUGGACGUAUUAAGUAGGGCGGGACACGUGAAAUCCUGUUUGAAGAUCGGGGGACCACCCCCGAAGGCUAAGUACUCCUUACUGACCGAUAGCGAACCAGUACCGUGAG